CCAUAGAACAAGGCUCAAGUAGGGUCAAGGAGGCAACAGUGACUCGGUCGGCUACAGUGGCUCAGUCAUGUUUCGACCUGAAGGCAUAGGAAUAUAUAUUUGUCUCUUUUACCGAUUCAAAGGUCUUGGUACCCGAACACGUUUAAACCAGUUUGCUCGCCGGUCAAGUGCCGUGCGGAAGGGUGAGGGAAUGUUUUUUGUUUUCGCGCCCACUAAAUUACAUUCUAAGAAUGCCACGGAAAAAAACCGACAGAAAAAUAGGGAAGAAAUAAAUAACGAAGAGAUUGAGAUGACUUAAGAUCUUAUAGGUAGCAAUAAAAGUACUAAGAGUCGUGUUGAAUUGUUGAUUAUAAUAAGAAUAGCUUGUGCAGUUUUGUUAUUAUUUCUAAUAAAAAACUACGCGGAA